rnacentral:rRNA from 1 species
CUUAGUUAUAUUCCUGGAUAACGAACGAGAUCUUAACCUGCUAAUUAGCGGCAAAUACGAUAUAUUCUUAUGUAGAAUUGAAUAUAGUGGAUUUGUUGGAUUUUGAAGAAAAUAUUGGAAUUACGUUAAAUGUGAUUCCUUUCCCUUUUCUACUUAAUUUACAUUUCCAUCUAUUUCUUUUCUUGCGUAUGAAAUGUAUUUGCUUGAUUGUAAAGCUUCUUAGAGA